rnacentral:lncRNA from 1 species
ACAGCUAAGAAUCAAUAAAAAUUGUUGAAAACAGAAAACCCGAAAAACUGCGGAGUAACUUGACAACUUCGUUCGAGGUGUUCCCGAUCUCAAAAAAUCACAAAAUUAAAUCUGGAAUGUCUUCAAAUAUUGAAUUUUUGAUCUGAAAAAUUUGGGCACCAAAUUCAACCCGCUGAAUAUUUUUUUAAUUUUUUAUUGGAUUUCGUAUUUUUUCAAUUUUUUGACUUUUUCGACUUAUUUUU